rnacentral:rRNA from 1 species
GACGAAGGAUGCAAGCGUUAUCCGGAAUUACUGGGCGUAAAGAGCUCGUAGGUGGUUUGUCGCGUUGUUCGUGAAAACUCACAACUCAAUUGUGGGCGUGCGGGCGAUACGGGCAGACUGGAGUACUGCAGGGGAGACUGGAAUUCCUGGUGUAGCGGUGGAAUGCGCAGAUAUCAGGAGGAACACCGGUGGCGAAGGCGGGUCUCUGGGCAGUAACUGACGCUGAGGAGCGAAAGCAUGGGGAGCGAACAGG